CGUAUUUAUUCUAUAGGUGAUAAAUACAUCAAUAGAUCAUGUUUGAAUUAUGGGUCCCGACACGAAACGAAAUGGGUCGGAACGAAUAAAAACGUUUAGAACCAUGAUUUGUAAUAAAUAUAAUUGUUUGGUCGUAUAGACCAAAUGGGUCAAAUGAUGGUGAUAACAUCAUAUGACCAUAUCGACUAAUGUUGGUUGUUAAGUCAUAUGUUUACAGGAACGAAUAGAAUUUUGGAUAAUUGCGUCAUCAUAGAAUAUUGAAUUAAUAAUAGCAAGGCAUAAACGGGUCUAUACGUUGACUCGAGCCAGGUACAUUUUGGAUGCCGGAAGACGAUCAAGCUCAACGAAGAACCGAACACGAUAAAGAUACAUGCUUCCGCACAUUGCCUCGUCGUAAAUUUUAAACGACGAAUUCGAUUACGCUAUGUUGAAUAACUUAUGAUUUGUAAAGUUUUAACGAACCCGUAUUUUUCAAUGUAUUGAAAUCUUAAUUACCCGUAGACUACACAUCUAAUUGUUGGUAUUUACAUGUAAAACCGCUUAAAUAGUAACUAGGGUGUUACAAGUUGGUAAUCAGAGCUCAUGGUUAAAGAGUAAGGUGUGUUCGGUUCGAGGCUUGAUCGCAAAUCCGGACACUCGCGUCUGAAGAUGAUGAGAGUUGAACAAAUUGUGGGUAUGAUGAUGGAACGGUCCGAGAUAUGACAAGAAGAGCAUACUCAUCAAGGACCUAUAUCGCGUAACAAUCGCAAAUAAGUAAUGGCAAGAAAGCCCGUUAGGGCAUGCAUUUAUCAGGUGCACGUUUAAAUUAUUG